GUGAACUUUACAGAGGGGAUUGACACGGGCCGCUUGCUGGGCGUCUGCUCUGGGGAAGACCAGGAAGACUUACUGAAGGUACGUGGGUGAGAACAUUCAAGAGCGUUUCCUUCUUUUGAAGAAUGGUCCAGUGUGAACCAUUAGAUUGUGUUUGAAUCAUAUGGUGAGGGACAUCUGAAACCAUCCUGAUUUUUGUGUAGGUUGGAACCAGAGCCAGUUUUUAUAACUCCCAGAGUUCAGCUUUCUCAUUUGAUCUUCAAGGUCACCACAAUACCUCCGGGUAAUUCAUUCUAUGUUUUUUUUUUUUUUUUUUUUUACUGUAGUCUACAUGUAUAUACUACAUCUACAUGUAUAUGUAGACUAUCCAACCAAUUUUGAUGUCUUCUGUAGCAUUGGACUAUUGGCAAACAUAUCCCACAACAUCUGCUUUACAUCCGUACUUGCCGUUUGAGUUUCAUUCAAAAUCACAGUUGAGUCGUGCAGGGAUUCAAGCACCCCCAAUAUUUUUCUCAGCUGCAGUCAUUUUUACCAUUCUACUGUGAAAUUUUGCAAGCGAAAUGCAGUCAUAUCAAUAGGAAUCUGUGCUAUAUUGAAUUUCAUGUGAGGAAUCUGACAGUGAGGACACGCUGUGGUGGAAAGAGAGGCUCACACAAUGAGCACAGUGGGAGGAUUUAACAAAGACAUGUCUCUCUUAUUAUAAGAAAGGCUCAGGGUUGGGGUUUGGAUCUUAGGGUAGAGAAUAACACUCAAAGAAAACUAGCUGAGUGUCGACUGGAUACUGUUUGGACGCCAUGAUCAGGUAAAGCCAGACAGAUGUUUUAGGAGUUACUUUUGUGGUUUGGUCAUUUGUUAUGACAUCUUCCAGAUAUAAGUCUCUUGUGUUUUGUUUUCAGGUCAGAGUUCAAGGCUCUUGGACUUUGGUAAGCAGACAAACGGAUUCCUUAGAACAGAAACAACCCUUUGUCUCAACAUUGACUCACUUUCAUAUACAUGCCCUGUCCCAUGCACCCGACUGGAGACAAAACCGCAACAAGCAGGCCCGUCAUUCUUGGGAGCACGGAAAGCCUGUAAAUGUUUCUGUAACAGUGAGUGAGCACUGGCAUGAUGACUCCAGCAGAGGGCAGGCCUGUAUCUUUCUCUCACCAGGACAGGCUUUAAUGUGGUCUGGAUCUCCCAGAGUGAACUCAGGCAAGGAGCUGUUGUACUCUCACACCCGCGUGUCUGUGUCCCGACACCCUCAGCACAACACCUUCACACUGUCACUCAGAAACAUCAGCAGCAGUCAGCGCUCCAACUACUCACUGAACACAGAGAAAUGUCUGAUGAUAUCAGAGCAGUAUUCUGUUUGGAGGGACAUCACUGGUUUACCCUGGAGCCUCAGUGAGACCCUUACCCUUAUUUCUGAAGGAGCUGCCAAUCAGAGUCUGCUUUUUCAAGCUAAGGGAUACAGGGAAUGCCUGUGGGCCAUGGAGGUGAGAACAGCAAGGAGUUAUGAAGUUCUUUCAUUAUAUAAAUCUGCCAGAUGGCUUGUAAAACAUUGUUUUUCAUGUCUGGAUUGAUACUGUAUCUUUACAGGCAAACCUCCAGCAGCUGGGGUCCAGGAUAAGGAGUUAACUGUUGGACAGAGUUCCGAGACUUCAGCAUCUACUGUUAACAUUCAGAAGACAGGUUUGUUUUAUCUCACAGGCUGUCCUGCUGCAUAUUUAGUCUAUGUUAAAAGGUUAGGUCAGUGGAAAAAAAAAUCACUUACCCUCAUGUGGUUUAAACAUGUAUGCCUUUCUUUCUUCUGGGAACCAAAAAAGAAGAUAUUUUGAAGAAUGUUGCAGUGUUUUUUAAUCCAUACAGUAAAAAUCUGUGGGGUUCAAUGUUGUUUUGGACACCACUGACUUUCAUUGUAUGGAUAGUUGAGGUAUUCUUUAAAAUAUUUUUAUUCCACAGAAGAAAGGGUGCUUUGUAAGAGUCAUAUAGAGUAUUUUAGAAUCAAAUACAUACCCUUUCAAAAGUUUGGGAUCAUUAUUUAUUUAUUUAUUUAUAUUGAAACUUUUAUUCAGCAAAUUUAUAAAAAGUAACUGUAAAAGUGACAGUUAAGUAUAAUGUUAUGAAAAAUUUCUAGAUUAUGUUUUUGGAAUGAACAUUUAAUCAAAUAAUCCUGAAUAAAAGUGUAUCAUGGUUUGCA
ensembl:lncRNA